GUCCCUUCAAAGACACAUCUGAGAGACCUGGUCCCUCCAGAUAGCCCUCAUCAUCUGUUUCUAUCAUCUCUCAAGAUAUCACUCUUCUGAGCCUGUGAGGACAUUUCCUACUUAAUAUGUAGCAGAAAUGCUGUAGAAAGGUUUUCCCUGUCAGCCUCGUGUGCUGGUUAGAAUUUCCUCUGCUGUCCAAGCAGUCCAGCAUAGCGGUUGCGGGGUAAGGUGCAAGCCAAUGCACUGUUACCUCUUAGAGCAUCCUGCAGUCCCAGGACAUGCACAGGCACAGGGGCCUGUAUCCAAGUAUGCACAGGGGCAGUAUGCAUGCAGCUUGAUUUCAUCCUGUGAUUCCUCAACCACGGAGCAUAAAAUAAAUCCAAGCCAUUUUGCCCUUUUUCGUGGCAGCAAACCAA